rnacentral:lncRNA from 15 species
AUUAUCUGAAAUCAGAAAUCCUAGGAAAAUGCACGUGUGGUGGGGAAUGCUGCCCUAGUGACGUCUAGUGCAGUAUUAGUGUCUGUGAAUGCAGCCCCAUGCCUGACUCCUCCCCAGCCAACAUCCCAAUGAGGUCAGGUUAUAUUAGCCACCUGCUGGCUGAUGCUCUCUCCUUUUUGGCUCUGAUCCUGUCUCUGCUGUGGUUGUUUUGUGCUCCAGUUCUGCUCUGGUGGUGCGAUUGUUGCCUUUCCCACCUGUUGAACCGAUCCUGUGUGUUAGCGCCCCAUACAAGAGGUGGUGAGUAGGGUUAAUGUUAAAAAGAAAAUAUGCAUUGUAUGUAACCUGGUGAGCCUUCUUAAUUCCUGUCUUUAUUCAUAGGUUCAUCUGUGAUGACUACUGCUGUUGCUCCUUGUUUGUUUUGCUGAUUUAGUCUGUUGACCAACUGGGCUGUCCUUUUUUAAUUAGGUCUUUUCCUUCUUUUUUUUUCUUUCACUGAAGCAGAGCGACAUGUUGUGGUGGGGCUAGAUACCCGUGAUGGGAUCCCCACUUCUGAUGCAUGUCAAUAAGAGCACCAGGACACGUUUGUAGACUGCACUUGUCCUUAAUUUUGGUUAGUUUGUUUGACUGAUAGUUUUACAUAUUAUGGUUAACCAGUGGUUUUAGAUAUUGUAUCAGGCCUUUCUUUGAAUAAUUGUAAUACAGUAUUUUUAUUCUCUGCUUGUUUUAUUUUGAUUAUUUAAAUAAAAAUGCUGGUUUAAUGUGAAAAACACUUUUCUGUCUUACCUAAGUAACCAGACUGUGUGCCUUCGUUAUUAAUCCAAAUAACAUUUAGGGUUAGAAGUUGAAAUAUUUCCUGGGGUGCAUUUCCCCAGGUCCUUUCCUCAUUCUCUCCUCACUGCCCUUUCCAUGCAUACAACCCUAUCUCUUACAAGACCUCCCAAUUAUACAACAAAAUACGGGGUUUGUUUAUGCCCUCUAGAGCGACACAUGGAAGUAUU